rnacentral:rRNA from 1 species
CAAAAAAAUGGAUGAACUAAGCCAUGCGAGUCAUUGUAGCAAUACAGGCAGACGGCUCAGUAACGCGUAGUCUAUUUAACCUAUGGACGGGAAUAACCUCGGGAAACUGAGUAUCAUGCCCGAUAGAACAUUAUGCCUGGAAUGGUUUAUGUUCCAAAUGAUUUAUCGCCGUAGGAUGGGACUGCGGCCUAUCAGUUUGUUGGUGAGGUAAUGGCCCACCAAGACUAUUACAGGUACGGGCUCUGAGAGGAGUAGCCCGGAGAUGGGUACUGAGACACGGACCCAGGCCCUAUGGGGCGCAGCAGGCGAGAAAACUUUGCAAUGUGCGAAAGCACGACAAGGUUAAUCCGAGUGGUUUCUGCUAAAGGAACCUUUUGUCGGUCCUAGAAACACCGAUGAAUAAGGGGUGGGCAAGUUCUGGUGUCAGCCGCCGCGGUAAAACCAGCACCUCAAGUGGUCAGGAUGAUUAUUGGGCCUAAAGCAUCCGUAGCCGGCUUUGUUAGUUUUCGGUUAAAUCUGUACGCUUAACGUACAGGCUGCCGGGAAUACUGCAGAGCUAGGGAGUGGGAGAGGUAGACGGUACUCGGUAGGAAGGGGUAAAAUCCUUUGAUCUAUUGAUGACCACCUGUGGCGAAGGCGGUCUACCAGAACACGUCCGACGGUGAGGGAUGAAAGCUGGGGGAGCAAACCGGAUUAAAUACCCGGGUAGUCCCAGCUGGAAACUAUGCAAACUCAGUGAUGCAUUGGCUUGUGGGCCAUGCAGUGCUGCAGGGAAGCCGUUAAGUUUGCCGCCUGGGAAAUUCGUACCCAAGUAUAAACUCAAAUGAAUUGACGGA